UGGAAAAAGNGCGUGAAGAAAAGUUAGACGUG
rnacentral:piRNA from 1 species